UUGGCUAUGCAGAUCUUGCUGGAGACUGUGCCUAGUCAAGCCUAUCUGAUCAUAGAAGCUAAGCAGACUUGAGCUGGGAUAGUACUUGGAUGGAAGACCACCAGGAAAUCACGGGAUUAUGCCCUCG
rnacentral:rRNA from 1 species